GUACUUUUGAGGCAUUGUGAUUGUUUAUCUAAUAGGCAGCUACAAUGUGAAGUGCCCUUAUAUUAAGAAAGGUCAUUAAUAUAGUGCUCCACCAGGCUACCUAUAGGGAGGAGGUUAUGCCCACAGCAGUGCUUCAGAUCAAAACUGCAGCAUGUGCUUGUUUGCAGCUAUGCUUUCAUUGAGAUCCCAGAGAGCACCAGUAUGCUGUUCGUGGGUAGAGAAAAGUGGACAUAAAGUGCAUCUCUGGUCAAUUUGACCAGUGCUUAAUAUAAUACCCUCUUAUCUAUUACUGCUCCUUCAGUAGCCUGAAC